GGGGGUGGUGGAGGGAAUAUUUAAGAAAUAAAAAUAGGAUCAGUUAACAUAAGGUAAAGAUAAGAUUGUAUAACAUAGGAUUAGAUUAAUUAUAAAUAAAGCAGUCCUCCUCAGAGGGGGGGUGGUGGAGGGAAUAUUUAAGAAAUAAAAAUAGGAUCAGUUAACAUAAGGUUAAGAUAAGAUUGUAUAACAUAGGGCUACAGUGAAGAAAUCAAAAAUUUCAAGGCAGCAUGAAGGUAACGCACAAUCAGGGAUGUGCAAUUUCUGAGGCAUGUAUUCAAAAAAAGUAUUUUAAUUGUGUUUUAUGAUUCAUAUUUGAGUUCAUGAAAUAAAAUGUUUUUUUCUACAGA